UACGUAGGUGGCAAGCGUUAUCCGGAUUUAUUGGGCGUAAAGGGAACGCAGGCGGUCUUUUAAGUCUGAUGUGAAAGCCCACGGCUUAACCGUGGAGGGUCAUUGGAAACUGGUUGACUUGAGUGCAGAAGAGGGAAGUGGAAUUCCAUGUGUAGCGGUGAAAUGCGUAGAGAUAUGGAGGAACACCAGUGGCGAAGGCGGCUUCCUGGUCUGCAACUGACACUGAGGCGCGAAAGCGUGGGGAGCAAACAGG
rnacentral:rRNA from 1 species